UACGAAGGGGGCUAGCGUUGUUCGGAAUCACUGGGCGUAAAGCGCACGUAGGCGGAUUUUUAAGUCGGGGGUGAAAUCCUGAGGCUCAACCUCAGAACUGCCUUCGAUACUGGCGAUCUUAGAGUCCGGGAGAGGUGAGUGGAACUCCUAGUGUAGAGGUGAAAUUCGUAGAUAUUAGGAAGAACACCAGUGGCGAAGGCGGCUCACUGGCCCGGUACUGACGCUGAUGUGCGAAAGCGUGGGGAGCUAACAGG
rnacentral:rRNA from 1 species